rnacentral:tRNA from 1 species
GCGCCGGUGGUGUAAGGCGAACAUCCGGAAAGCAGAAGAUGCGGGUUCGCGUCCCGCCUGGCGCA